rnacentral:rRNA from 1 species
AGAGUUUGAUCCUGGCUCACGAUGAACGCUGGCGGCGUGGAUAAGGCAUGCAAGUCGAACGGUCUGUUUUCAUUUGACGAUCCUUCGGGUGAAUCUCCGAGAGCAGAUAGUGGCAAACGGCGCAGGAAUACCUUGGUACCUACCCCUAAGUCGGGGAUAAGCCAUCGAAAGGUGGUCUAAUACCCGAUGGCCCCCGCCCAAAUUUUUGGAGGCGCGAAUGCGCAAUUCGAAGCAAAAGCUUCGAUCCAAAAAUUUGGGCGGGGUAAAGGAGCAAUCCGCUUGGGGACGGGCCUGGGCACCAUCAGCUUGUUGGUAGGGUAACGGCCUACCAAGGCGAUGACGGUUAGGGGAGGUGAGAGCCUGACCCCCGCGAAUGGGACUGAGACACGGCCCAUACUCCUACGGGAGGCUGCAGUCGAGAAUCUUCCGCAAUGGACGAAAGUCUGACGGAGCGACGCCGCGUGGAGGAAGACGCACUUCGGUGUGUAAACUCCUUUUCUGCCUGAAGAAGCUUCGGCUGACAUUAGGGCAGGAAUAAGAGGUUGCUAACUCUGUGCCAGCAGCAGCGGUAAGACAGAGACCUCGAGCGUUGUCGGAAGUAACUGGGCGUAAAGGGUCCGUAGGCGGCACGGUGCGUUGGUCGUUAAAGCCCCCGGCUCAACCGGGGAAAUGCUACCAAUACGGCCGAGCUAGAGGAUACGAGGGGCUGAUGGAACUCACGGUGGAGGGGUGGAAUCCGUUGAGAUCGUGAGGAACACCGAAGGCGAAGGCAUUCAGCUGGCGUACUCCUGACGCUGAGGGACGAAAGCGUGGGUCGCGAAUGGGAUUAGAUACCCCAGUAGUCCACGCCGUAAACGAUGGACGCUAGCGGUGGGGAGUAUCGACCCUCUCCGUCGCGAAGCUAACGCGUGAAGCGUCCCGCCUGGGAAGUACGGUCGCAAGACUAAAACUCAAAGGAAUAGACGGGGGCUUGCACAAGUGGUGGAGCGUGAGGAUUAAUUCGUCAUUAAGCGAAGAACCUUACCUGGGCUUGACAUGGUGCUGCAAGCGCACGGAAACGUGUGACCUUCGAGGGUGCACCACAGGCGCUGCAUGGUUGUCGUCAGCUCGUGCCGUGAGGUGUUCGGUUCAGUCCGGUAACGAGCGCAACCCCUGUCGCAUGUUAUCUGUGUCAUGCGAGACUGCCUCAGCCAAUGAGGAGGAAGGCGGGGACGACGUCAAAUCAGCAUGGCCCUUAUGCCCAGGGCGUCACUCGCGCUACAGUGGCACGUACAACGGGUUGCCAAGCCGUGAGGCGGAGCUAAUCCUUCAAAGCGUGUCUCGGUUCGGAUUGGAGGCUGCAACUCGCCUCCAUGAAGUCGGAAUCACUAGUAAUCGCGAAUCAGCCAUGUCGCGGUGAAUACGUUCUCAAGCCUUGUACUCACCGCCCGUCAAGUCAGUGAAGCUGGGGGUACCCGAAGUCUCGCUUCGUGCGGGCCGAAGGUAAAUUCAGUGACAAGGACUAAGUCGUAACAAGGUA